rnacentral:rRNA from 1 species
UAGGGAAUCUUCGGCAAUGGACGAAAGUCUGACCGAGCAACGCCGCGUGAGUGAAGAAGGUUUUAGGAUCGUAAAACUCUGUUGUUAGAGAAGAACAAGGACGUUAGUAACUGAACGUCCCCUGACGGUAUCUAACCAGAAAGCCACGGCUAACUACGUGCCAGCAGCCGCGGUAAUACGUAGGUGGCAAGCGUUGUCCGGAUUUAUUGGGCGUAAAGCGAGCGCAGGCGGUUUCUUAAGUCUGAUGGGAAAGCCACCGGCUCAACCGGGGAGGGUCAUUGGAAACUGGGUGACUUGAGUGCAGAAGAGGAGAGUGGAAUUCCAUGUGGAGCGGUGAAAGGCGUAGAUAUAUGGAGGAACACCAGUGGCGAAGGCGGCUCUCUGGUCUGUAACUGACGCUGAGGCUCGAAAGCGUGGGGAGCAAACAGG